rnacentral:misc_RNA from 1 species
AAAAAAAUGCAGAAUCAACAACAGCUACAGACACUGAUGCAAGCAGGUCAGAUUUCAGGGAGUUUGAGUUUUAAUGGUAAUUUAAGUAAAGAAGAUGAAGAAAUGUCAAAAUCUGCACUUUCAACUUUUAAAGCUAAGGAAGAAGAGAUUGAAAAAAAGAAACUCGAGGUUAAGGAGAAAGUUCAAGCUCAGUUGGGUCGUAUUGAAGAGGAAACUAGACGUUUAGCUAUUAUUCGUGAGGAACUAGAAGCAUUAGCAGAUCCAAUGAAGAAAGAAGUUUCAACGGUUCGAAAAAGGAUUGAUAUUGUCAACAAGGAGUUAAAACCCCUGGGCCAGACUUGCCAGAAGAAGGAGAGAGAAUACAAAGAAGCUCUCGAGGCCUUCAACGAAAAACACAAGGAAAAAGUACAACUUAUAUCAAGAUUGAUGGAGCUGGUGGGUGAAAGCGAGAAAAUGAGGAUGAAGAAGUUGGAGGAGCUGAGCAAGAGUGUAGAAACGAUCCAUUGAAAGAUAAAUCACCUUAAAAAAGCUCAUCAGUGACGACUAAUUAGGCUUGUGUGAUAUAUUUAAGAUCUAUAAUCGAAAUUUCUGUUUAUUAUAUGGUUGUUUUCGCGUUUGGUGGGUGUAUUCUUUCUUCCUUUUUUCGCGCUUUAUGUUGUUCUUUGUUCAUUUUUAGGCUUUUGAAGGAUGAUGAUCUAAUUUUAGGUGUCAAAAGGGAAGAAAUACCCUUGUAAACAUGUUUGUAACUAAAACAGGU